UACAGAGGGGGCGAGCGUUGUUCGGAAUUACUGGGCGUAAAGGGCGCGUAGGCGGCCCGCUAAGUCGAACGUGAAAUCCCCAGGCUUAACCUGGGAACUGCGUCCGAUACUGGCAGGCUUGAAUCCGGGAGAGGGAUGUGGAAUUCCAGGUGUAGCGGUGAAAUGCGUAGAUAUCUGGAGGAACACCGGUGGCGAAGGCGGCUCUCUGGGCCUUACCUGACGCUGAGGCGCGAAAGCUAGGGGAGCGAACAGG
rnacentral:rRNA from 1 species